UGUUGACAAAUUGGCAAGUGUACCAAAUCGUACAAGUAAUAUAAAUGGUAAGACCAAGUAUCGUUUUCCCAAGAGACUCGAAUGGCUUUCUCUUUCGCGUGAAUUAAAAUAAUAAGACUUGAAAAUAAAAAUUAAUAAAUUGGAUUUGAGAAUAAAAAUAUUAACAUGCAAAACAAAGUUGAUUCAAUUGACAAAUGAAAACAGUGGAUGAAUGGAUGUUGUUGGGGGUUCACAAUUUCAUCUAAUCCGCUCUCUCUUACCUACUCCUCUUGAAUAUUAGUUUGAUUAAUUAAUUGUUAUGCGACUUUCUUAGCCUCCCCUUAACCCUAUCCCUCGGCGAAAAGGGCCAAAUAUUAACUACUGGCUUGCUAUCCCUAGCCUCCCCUAGUAAUUAAUACCGCAUUAUAAACAGAAGUUAGCGCAAUUN
rnacentral:lncRNA from 1 species